CACAGGAUCCUUAACCCACUGAGCAAGACCAGGGAUGGAACCUGCAUCCUCCUGGAUACCAGUCCAGAUUUGUUUCCACUGAACCACGACAUGAACUCCAGAAAAGGCAUUUUUAACCAAGUACUCAGCAGCACAGCUCAUGUUCCAUCUUGGGUCAGAUGCUGUUUAUGGAACGGAAGUAUAAGACAAAGGAAGGGCACUGUCCCCAAGGAACUGGGUCUAUUAGGAAGACAAGUCUGAUGGAUCUAAGGCCAAGGACAAUGAAGGCUGGAAAAUGUGAAGCGCCUCCCCAAAGAAAAUCAAAUCAACACGACUGUCAUUCUGUCACCACAUGCCUGUAUUCCAUUCAUCUAAGCUCAGGGCUGAUUAAUUUCCUCCUGCACAAUGUGGGGCCCCUGCUUUAGAGGUGAGUGGCCUUUUCUAUCUCUUUGUUGUUCCUUUCCAGCCCCACGAAAAAAAACAGAAAAUAACUGUCAACAACAAUGCUUUCCCAGCAAGAUAAACCUCAGAGAUAUUUCUUUUCUCAGAGGGAAAAUGUAGGUCUUAAAAGUGCAAGGUGAGAUUUGCAGGACAGGGUGGGGUGGGGAGUUGGAAAGAAUUCAGUCCCAUCUGUAUCUUUAAAACCCACUCAUCAGUGAUGUUUAAGGUUUCUCUUAGGGUAACUUUGUUUAAAAUAGAAAUAGAAAGUAGAGGAGUUCCUCUGUGGCUUAGUGGGUUAAGGAUCCCGCAUUGUCACUGCUGCAGUGUAGGUUCGAUUACUGGCCUGGGAACUUCCGCAUGCUGAGGGUAUGGUCAAAAAAGAAAAAAAAAAAAGAGGAAGAAAUAGAAGGCAGAGACCCACUUCCUGCCACUUGUUACAAGCCACCCUUGGGCCUUCUUCCCAACUGGCCAGAGAUGACUCACAGCCCCACCACCACAUUGUUCACCUAUUCCUGGAGAAAAUUGAGCCAUGUUAGACCAAAGGUCUCUUGGGGCAGUGGUUGGGCUUCCAAAGGCUGAUAAUGGCCUUGGAUCUCUCCCAAAAGGCAUGGCUAGUGCUGAAUCAGCCACUCAGGAGUUGAACCUCAGGGAAGCCCCCAAGGUCUCCCAACCAGAGACAAGGAGUCAGCCCAUACAUACUCCAAGGUCCCCAAUUCCCGAUAGCCCAGAAGUCAGGGCCAACCAAGGUAACAGCAGAAAUCUUCACUGGAGACAGAUUCAGGGGCAAGGAUCUUGGUGGCAUUCAGCCCUUUUGAAAGAUAGAGUUUCCACCAGAACGAUUCCUAAGAAGCCCUCUCCACACAUCCGUUUCCUCCUUGCAGCAUUUGUUAAUCCUCCAGACAGAGAAGCUCUUGAAACCCUACCCCUGCAAGACCAGACAAGACCACAAGCAGUGAGAUUACUCAGCCUGAGUAGUCAGUGCUCCAGAGAGAGUAAAGGAAGUGAGGCCCUUGUCCUCCAUGUGCCCUCUCAAACUGGAGGCCCAUGAGGGACCCAGACCUCUGUCAUGACAAGACGUGCAGAGACCAAUGCGGCUGAGAUUCCAGACAGUGCAGAUGGCACAGGGGCUGAGAACUUGGGCUCUGUGUUUAAAUCCAGUUAUGCCAUGUCCUAGCUCAGCAAGUCUCAUAAUUUCUAUAAGCCUUGGUUUUGCCUUAGUUUCUUCUGUAAAAUGGGAAUGAUAGUGUCCAUCUCAUAGAACCAUUGAAAAGACUGAGUGAAAAGGGCACAUGUAAAGCACUUAGUUUAGGGCUUGAUGAAUAAUAACAAAAAUAGCAGCAGUUAUUACCCUUGCUCUUAGGAGGGCCCCUUACAGCCAAAUUCCUACUUUGCGGUUUCCCCAUUGGUGGUAAGGCUGUCCCUCAAGUACCCACUCGCCCCCACUCUGUGGCAUGUGAGUCUGUCUUCUCUGGAGGCUCUCUUAGUACAGGGCAUGACCUGCCCGACCUGUUUCCUCCACACAUACCUUAGGGUCAUGUGCAUGCCCAGUAAAUAUCUGUGACCAAAGUGGGUCUGGGACACUGGCCUCAGUUUGAGAAUAGGAAGUAGUCUCUUACCUUGACUCAUCUGACCCCUCUGCUCUCUGUCCCUUUGCAGAACUGUCAGAGCCUAGACCAGUAGUUGCCAUAGCAACAACAGAGCCCAAGAGAGGGUACCAGUCAGGGCAUCCCUGAUUCUCAAGAGACCAGGUGCUUUUUCUGGACAGCAAAGAGGGGAAACAGCUGUGACAGCUGCCUUACAAUGAGCUCCCUGGGAGGCAUACACCCCUUCAUUCCAUCACUCAUCCAAUCAUGUAUUCUCUCCUUCACAAAACAUUUAUUGAGUGGCUAUCACUAUGCCAGAUGCUAAGAAAACAGAAUUCAAGUGAAACACUGUUCCUGCCUUGAGGCAGGUUCCAGUCUAGAGGGAAGCAGAAGGGAAGGCAGGGAGGGCAGGAGGCAGGAGGGUAUGGGUCAGAGGGAAGCAGAGGAGUGCAGAGGUUAAGAGCAUGUCCUCUGGAGUCAGUUGCCUGCAUUCAAACCCAGGCUUUGCCCAUUACUGGCCAUGUGACAUCUGGGCAAGUUACUUCAUCUCUAAGCCUCAGUUUACUCAUAUGUAAAAUGGGGUAACUAGUGCUUACCUCAAAGACUCUGAGGUAUCUUUAGUACAUGUAAAUCACGUGGCAUGUAGCAAGCACUCAAUAACCAGUAGGUUUUCUGUUGUUCUGGCUCUACCCCAGGUUCUGUCCUCCACAUACCCAAAACCAGUUUCAGAUUAGAGCUUCCUCCAGGGCUCCCUCAGCAGAGCCCUAGCUAACUCUGAUUCCCCUGGCUUCCAGGCUAAGCAGCCCCACUGCCACUGCACCUGGGACUUCUGUGUGUACCUCAUCCCCUGCUGCCAGCAGAUUUUUCGGACAGUGUUCCAGCUGUCCGCCCACAAGGAAGUUGUGGAGGGUGUCAAACUGCAGUAACAAACCUCAGUGAUGGGGUGGCCUUCAUCUUCAACAGCAUCAUCAGCACCAAUGUGACAAGGGAUGAGGACCGAGCACGCUAAUGAAGAGGAAGGGGCUGCUUGGUAAAACAAAACUUGAAACAGCUGCUCCUCUACGCGGGCCUCUCGGUCUCCCUCAGGCGGAGGAAAGGAGGCUGGCUCUAGAGCGCACGUAGAAGGCCUCCUUGUGGCCAUUGUUAUGAAGUGCACCGGCCGAGAUCCCCCUCCGAGAGCUUCACCAAGGAAAAAAGAAAUUGGCAUUUUACGGGGCGCACGAUCAUAAAGAGAAGCGAAUCACAAACGUCCUCAAACCAGGCAUCCUAAAAAGCUUCAGUCUACAGUCUUGGACUCUCAGGUGCAGCUUCAAUGACUGCACUUCAAAGCUUGACGCGGCCAUCUGCCCUGCCUGUGGUCAUUUACACCACUGCCCACAAAUCCCGAGUCUCUGACCAGAAGAGCGUGGUGGCUCUAAGCAGGUGCUGCUGUCCUGGCCUAAGGAGGAGAAAGAGGUUGUUCUUGAUGGAAAUAGUUCUGAAGAAGCAGAAACCCCCCCUUCCCCCAAUAAAAUACACAAAGCCUC